rnacentral:rRNA from 1 species
UACGUAGGGGGCUAGCGUUGUCCGGAAUCAUUGGGCGUAAAGAGCGCGUAGGCGGUCCGGUAAGUCCGCUGUGAAAGUCAAGGGCUCAACCCUUGAAUGCCGGUGGAUACUGUCGGGCUAGAGUCCGGAAGAGGCGAGUGGAAUUCCUGGUGUAGCGGUGAAAUGCGCAGAUAUCAGGAGGAACACCAAUGGCGAAGGCAGCUCGCUGGGACGGUACUGACGCUGAGACGCGAAAGCGUGGGGAGCAAACAGG